rnacentral:rRNA from 1 species
GAGUUUGAUCCUGGCUCAGAACGAACGCUGGCGGCGUGCUUAACACAUGCAAGUCGAGUGCGCGUUUCCGUAGCAAUACGGAGAUGGCGCACGGCGCACGGGUGCGUAACACGUGGGUAAUCUGCCCUCCGAUGGGGAAUAACCCCGCGAAAGCGGGGCUAACUCCGCAUAACAUUCCGAGAACUCCGGUUUUUGGACUCAAAGGCGUAAGUCGUCGGAGGUGGAGCCCGCGCACGAUUAGCUAGUUGGUAGGGUAAUGGCCUACCAAGGCUUUGAUCGUUAGCUGGUCUGAGAGGAUGGCCAGCCACACUGGAACUGAGACACGGUCCAGACUCCUACGGGAGGCAGCAGUGGGGAAUCUUGCACAAUGGGCGAAAGCCUGAUGCAGCGACGCCGCGUGGGGGAUGAAGCUUCUCGGAGUGUAAACCCCUUUCGACCCGGACGAAUGCCCCGCAAGGGGAGUGACGGUACGGGUAUAAGAAGCCCCGGCUAACUACGUGCCAGCAGCCGCGGUAAGACGUGGGGGGCCAGCGUUGUUCGGAAUUACUGGGUGUAAAGGGUUCGUAGGCGGUGUGGCAAGUCGGGAGUGAAAUCUCUGGGCUCAACUCAGAGGCUGCUUCCGAAACUGCUGUGCUGGAGUGUGGGAGAGGCGCGUGGAAUUGCAGGUGUAGCGGUGAAAUGCGUAGAUAUCUGCAGGAACACCCGUGGCGAAAGCGGCGCGCUGGACCACUACUGACGCUG